AUGUACAUGAUAACACUUCCAAUCAGUUAAGAUCAGAAGCCAUGAGAGCCACUGUCUGGUACUGCAUCAAGGCUGGGAAAUUUAUAAAUGUUUCUCCCAGCUUGUAAAAAUAACUCUAGAAUAAUGUCACUGGAGGUCACACAACAAACUGAGUCAUGGAAAGAAGAGACAUAAAACAGCAACACCAAAUUGACUGGAAUGGUUACAACACAGAUACACUCACACAUAUUUACUAUAUAGAUACAGAUAUAUGUUUCCAAUAACAAUAUACAGAUAUAUUGGGGAAGAUCUCAAGAAGCUCAAUGACACUUUGGAGAAUGCAGAGGGGCUGGCACGGGGCCCACAAGCAAUAGAGAGUACUGGCGGGCCUGGUCAGCUCUACACAUAGUGAUAUUUCUGGGACCUAUAACCUGGAAUGACCCCAGCCUUAUGAAGCAAGUUACAUAAAUACAUGUUCAAAACCUAUUUCAGAACUAAAAUUCCUCAUUACAUAUCUAUAUCAUUUAUUUUUUCUCAGAUGAGAAGGACGGUGGGGUUACAGAAAACAGCAUACUCAGAGCCCGGAUAGCUAUGGACAGUACAACUACAAACACAUCAUUCAACAUUUAGUUCCGUCCUUGACAUUUGCUGUUUGAAAGCUUUGCUGAGUGUAUAAAAAGACAGCAGCCUUGUGCUGAAAGUUUUAACAGCUAAUUUAACUAAUCUCUCUUGAAUCAUUAAAAUAACAAUCACUUGGGCGUUGAUAGAAAAACAAAAGGAUGUUAUGAUAAAAGAACCCUGAAAAGAAAUUGUUAGCAUCAAGAUGGUAAAUUGUUGGAGAUGAUCAAAUUUUCGACACUAUGAUUUUUGUGAGUCUAUUUACUAAACUAAAUUUUAAUAUGUACACAAACACACACAGACACAUAGACACUAUUUUAGACACUGAUAUAUAUAGAUUCAUGCGCACACACUCACAUAUGUAUAUGUGUAUAUACAAAUCAGAUGAAAAAAUUACUCAAUAUAGAAAGUGGUUUGAACAUGCAGCUAUCCACCGGUCACUCACCAUGGGAACUUCAAAAUGGUAAUCAGAAUACAUAUAUAUAUAUAUAUAUGUGAUGGUUUUUGGUAUGAUGUUUGCCGUGGAUGCAACUGACUCAGACAGAGUUUCUGAUGACGGUGCUGCAGUAGGUACAUCACUUUUAUCAUCUUUAGAAGAUUUGUCUUCAGCCAUGAUGAUAUGUUAUGCUUGUAAGUGACCAAACCACUAAACAAAAAACUGAUAUCGUGAGAAAGUA